GCCCGCCUCAGCCUCCCAAAGUGCUGGGAUUACAGGCGUGAGCCACUGCGCUCGGCCAUGUUCUGUAUAUUUAUUUUG
rnacentral:miRNA from 1 species